GAUGAACGCUGGCGGCGUGCUUAACACAUGCAAGUCGAACGGAAAGGCCAGUGCUUGCACUGGUACUCGAGUGGCGAACGGGUGAGUAACACGUGGGUGAUCUGCCCUGUACUUCGGGAUAAGCUUGGGAAACUGGGUCUAAUACCGGAUAGGACAACUUUUUGGAUAUUGUUGUGGAAAGCUUUUGCGGUAUGGGAUGAGCUCGCGGCCUAUCAGCUUGUUGGUGGGGUAAUGGCCUACCAAGGCGUCGACGGGUAGCCGGCCUGAGAGGGUGUACGGCCACAUUGGGACUGAGAUACGGCCCAGACUCCUACGGGAGGCAGCAGUGGGGAAUAUUGCACAAUGGGCGCAAGCCUGAUGCAGCGACGCCGCGUGGGGGAUGAAGGCCUUCGGGUUGUAAACUCCUUUCGCUAGGGACGAAGCUUUUUUGUGAUGGUACCUGGAGAAGAAGCACCGGCUAACUACGUG
rnacentral:rRNA from 1 species